rnacentral:lncRNA from 10 species
GAGUCACGGGCCGCGCACACUGCACGUCUGACUGCACGGGCCCCUCGGGCCUGCACCUCCGCGGCCCGGAAGGGACGGAAGCCCCGCGUCCCCACCCCCACCCCGGGAGGGUCCCUGCGGCAGUUACGGGGGAGCAGCGAUAGCUGCCCUGGAGGUCGCAUUCCCACCCGGCCCCCGAGUUCUCCGGGAGAACUCCCCCGCAGCCUCGGCGGCAUCGCCUCCUCCAAUCUCCCCAGGAAUCGUGUUUCCCCCAACCCUGCCUCCGUGCGCGCCGGGGUGGCGGCGGGAUCCCGGUGCCGCCACCCCUCGGCCCCUCCGCCGCCGUGCGGGACCGCGAUGGGGGAGGGGACAGGCCCGGUUUCGGUGAGGGGGCUGGGGUCGGCCACGCCCUCUUCCCUGGCCCCAGGGUGGGGGCCGCGAGGAUGGCGGGGUCACCGGGCUGAACUCGCGCCUGUCUGACCUGCGGGGGUGUAGGCGGUGUGGACUGUGGACUGGAAGACGUCCUUAAAUUUUUAAAAAUAGUCUUGCCGUAUGGAGAAGAACACUGGAACCUUUAAGUCCGCAUCCCCUCGCCCGAUUCGGCUCGUCUUAGUCCAGAGUGUAACUCCAAACAUACUUAUUAAGAAACUGUUGCUUUAUUUUGACUCGUUUACAUAAAAUUUCCACUUUGGGGGGGAUGGCGGUGGGCUUGUGGAUUCCCUAAAAUAACUUUUAAUGGAGCGAAGCCUUCCAUUAUGGGAAGCGCCUAGACGCGGAGAGGCGUCUGGGGGCCUGGGUUGCCGUCACAGCCCUGCCACCAGCUGGCUGAGCGACCGGGGCACGUCGCUGCCCCCUCUGCCCGUGUUAGGAGAGUGGCCGCGGCGGGGCGACUGCACGAGCUGCCCCUAGGAUUGAAAGACAGAGGCUGUCUCUCCUUAACUUGCUUUGAUCCUGCAGAGAAGCAAAAUGGAGUGAGAUUAAAAAUAAAGAAGAUGCAAGCAGUUUGCUUUUCUGAAUGGUGUGCCUUCCGCCCCGCUCCAGUUGUAUUUAUCAUGCAGACAAGGUCAAGGUAACCUUCACGGUCUGGCCAGUUCCAUUAAGUACAGAGUGCCCUUUCACUAGGAGGAGACCUCCAUUGAGAACUUUACUUCCCACAUCACUCGGGAACCUUCAGGGCUUUGAAGGCUCCUACUCCAAAGGGUCAGGAGGGGAGAGGCCCGGAGGGAAUGCGAAGAGAGACUUUUCACAAAGGGAGAGAAGAAUGAAGGUGAACAGGAACAUUUUUAAGGCUCUUGAUUCAAAUCGUCUGCUGCUGUCCAGAAAGAUGACACCAACUUACACAUCCGAUAAGAAUGGAUGAAAUUAAAAUUCUGGGCCGGACGCGGUGGCUCACGCCUGUAAUCCCAGCACUUUGGGAGGCCAAGGCGGGCGGAUCACGAGGUCAGGAGAUCGAGACCAUCCUGGCUAAUGCGGUGAAACCCCGUCUCUACUAAAAAUACAAAAAAUUAGAUGGG